AGAGUUUGAUCAUGGCUCAGGACGAACGCUGGCGGCACGCUUAACACAUGCAAGUCGAACGAGAGAAGAGGAGCUUGCUUUUCUGAUCUAGUGGCGGACGGGUGAGUAACACGUGAGCAAUCUGCCUUUCAGAGGGGGAUACCGAUUGGAAACGAUCGUUAAUACCGCAUAACAUAAUUGAACCGCAUGAUUUGAUUAUCAAAGAUUUAUCGCUGAAAGAUGAGCUCGCGUCUGAUUAGCUAGUUGGUAAGGUAACGGCUUACCAAGGCGACGAUCAGUAGCCGGACUGAGAGGUUGAUCGGCCACAUUGGGACUGAGACACGGCCCAGACUCCUACGGGAGGCAGCAGUGGGGAAUAUUGCACAAUGGAGGAAACUCUGAUGCAGCGAUGCCGCGUGAGGGAAGAAGGUUUUAGGAUUGUAAACCUCUGUCUUCAGGGACGAAAAAAGACGGUACCUGAGGAGGAAGCUCCGGCUAACUACGUGCCAGCAGCCGCGGUAAUACGUAGGGAGCGAGCGUUGUCCGGAAUUACUGGGUGUAAAGGGAGCGUAGGCGGGAUCGCAAGUCAGAUGUGAAAACUAUGGGCUUAACCCAUAAACUGCAUUUGAAACUGUGGUUCUUGAGUGAAGUAGAGGUAAGCGGAAUUCCUAGUGUAGCGGUGAAAUGCGUAGAUAUUAGGAGGAACAUCAGUGGCGAAGGCGGCUUACUGGGCUUUAACUGACGCUGAGGCUCGAAAGCGUGGGGAGCAAACAGGAUUAGAUACCCUGGUAGUCCACGCCGUAAACGAUGAUUACUAGGUGUGGGGGGACUGACCCCUUCCGUGCCGCAGCAAACGCAAUAAGUAAUCCACCUGGGGAGUACGACCGCAAGGUUGAAACUCAAAGGAAUUGACGGGGGCCCGCACAAGCAGUGGAGUAUGUGGAUUAAUUCGAAGCAACGCGAAGAACCUUACCAGGUCUUGACACCGUAUGCAUAGCUCAGAGAUGAGUGAAAUCUCUUCGGAGACAUAUAGACAGGUGGUGCAUGGUUGUCGUCAGCUCGUGUCGUGAGAUGUUGGGUUAAGUCCCGCAACGAGCGCAACCCUUACUGUUAGUUGCUACGCAAGAGCACUCUAGCAGGACUGCCGUUGACAAAACGGAGGAAGGUGGGGAUGACGUCAAAUCAUCAUGCCCCUUAUGACCUGGGCCUCACACGUACUACAAUGGCUGUCAACAGAGGGAAGCAAAGCCGCGAGGUGGAGCGAACCCCUAAAAGCAGUCUUAGUUCGGAUUGUAGGCUGCAACCCGCCUACAUGAAGUCGGAAUUGCUAGUAAUCGCAGAUCAGCAUGCUGCGGUGAAUACGUUCCCGGGCCUUGUACACACCGCCCGUCACGCCAUGGGAGUCGGUAACACCCGAAGCCUGUAGUCUAACCGCAAGGAGGACGCAGUCGAAGGUGGGAUUGAUGACUGGGGUGAAGUCGUAACAAGGUA
rnacentral:rRNA from 1 species